rnacentral:rRNA from 1 species
ACCACGACUCUCGACAAUGGAUAUCUCGGC